GUGUUGGUAGUUCAGUGGUAGAAUUCCCACUUCGCAUAUAGAAGACCUGGGUUUGAUUCCUGGCCAAUACG
rnacentral:tRNA from 1 species